rnacentral:siRNA from 1 species
GGUCCAACCCGGUUGACCCGAUGA